rnacentral:tRNA from 1 species
UCCCUGGUGGCUCAGAAGGUAAAGCGUCUGUCUACAAUGCAGGAGACCUGGGUUCAAUCCCAGGUCGGGAA